rnacentral:lncRNA from 1 species
CAGAACCAUCUGCGAAAAUCUGUGCAGCUAAUCUCCAGAUUGAAAACAUCUUUCCAUCCCCAAACUCUUGUCUUGAUUUCUGCCACCAUCUUCUCCACAUUCCAAACUCCCUUAUUGAAUUUACAUUCAUUUCUUCCUUUCCACAAGCACCAAACAGCACACAACCAAAUGCAAGAAAGAAAAGCACGAUCUUUUUUCCUUCCCAUAUUUGAAAACGCAAGCAGAUGAUCUUUUGCUUUAGAUUGAAGUGCUGUCGAAAAACCAGUCCAGGAAAGAAGAGCGUACCAGACUUCUACCGAUCCGCUGCAGGAGAAAAGGAGAUGUUCCGAGGUUUCC